rnacentral:rRNA from 1 species
UUGACCUCGGAUCAGGUAGGAAUACCCGCUGAACUUAAGCAUAUCAAUAAGCGGGAGG